rnacentral:rRNA from 1 species
GGAUAACUUACCCUUUAGGACUGGGAUAACUCUGGGAAACUGGGGAUAAUACUGGAUAUUAGGCUAUGCCUGGAAUGGUUUGCCUUUGAAAUGUUUUUUUUCGCCUAAGGAUAGGUCUGCGGCUGAUUAGGUCGUUGGUGGGGUAAUGGCCCACCAAGCCGAUGAUCGGUACGGGUUGUGAGAGCAAGGGCCCGGAGAUGGAACCUGAGACAAGGUUCCAGACCCUACGGGGUGCAGCAGGCGCGAAACCUCCGCAAUGUACGAAAGUGCGACGGGGGGAUCCCAAGUGUUAUGCUUUUUUGUAUGACUUUUCAUUAGUGUAAAAAGCUUUUAGAAUAAGAGCUGGGCAAGACCGGUGCCAGCCGCCGCGGUAACACCGGCAGCUCGAGUGGUAGCUGUUUUUAUUGGGCCUAAAGCGUUCGUAGCCGGUUUGAUAAGUCUUUGGUGAAAGCUUGUAGCUUAACUAUAAGAAUUGCUGGAGAUACUAUUAGACUUGAAGUCGGGAGAGGUUAGAGGUACUACCGGGGUAGGGGUGAAAUCCUAUAAUCCUGGGAGGACCACCUGUGGCGAAGGCGUCUAACUGGAACGAUCUUGACGGUGAGUAACGAAAGCCAGGGGCGCGAACCGGAUUAGAUACCCGGGUAGUCCUGGCCGUAAACGAUGUGAACUUGGUGUUGGAAUGGCUUUGAGUUGUUCCGGUGCCGAAGGGAAGCUGUUAAGUCCACCGCCUGGGAAGUACGGUCGCAAGACUGAAACUUAA